ensembl:lncRNA
UUAUUGUUUUUAAGGGAGAAGGAUGCUAUAAGGAUGCAGUAAGGAAAACUCCAUGUGAGGGAUUGAACUGGCAAAUUUCUGAGGACUACAUCUAACUCCUGACAAAGAAACUGUAUACAACAGCAUUUACUGUUCCUUGAUUAUUAGGAGGACAUUGCUUACUUUAGUCUCACUAGCAACAGAAACAUGAAAUCUAGCUUUGAUCUGACAGAUUCCUUGUGUUCUGAGCUCAGCUAACCUCUUCUCAAACAAAUAUGAAGAGAAGUCCUGAGGAACUGUUAACAUCACUUAUAGUCGUGUCGAGUCUGAUCCUGUAAUUUAAUGGACUGUUGUUUCUUCAUGAAGAUGUUCGUGGAGGCUUGCUCAUGUUAGUGUACUCUGGCACACAAUUUGAUGUUAAGUUAGGGAAGAAUUACAGUAUUGAUUUAUUAAGAACAAAUCUUAUAUUGAAUGGUUUUCCAUAUUUUUUUUUGGACAGCAUUCUGGAACAAGACAAGCGUGUUUAGAAACAGUUAGUGUCUUCUCUCUAUAGAAAGUUUAUUCAGCUAAUAAUUCAGAAAUAGAAUUGAUCGCAGUUAUCCCUCGCAAGUGCUACAGUGUGCUUACUGGGACUGACUGCUAUAUAUCAUGUUUUUACCAGCUGCUAAACAUGCAAGCGUAAAUUGAAGUAUUUUGGAAGUUUUUUGACGGUAGUAGAGGGUUAUUCAAUUUUUAUGGUUGCCCACAAUAAUGUUUCUUUUCAAUAAUUCUCAUGUUGCUAUUUUUACUAGCAUUGCCUGUUUUCUAGCACCAACUAAACCUUGCUGGGUUUGUAGUAUAGACAAGACUUAGUUUUUUUUUAAUUCCCAUUAGCUACAUUCAGGUUUGUUACCUUUCCAUUAGAUAGUAUCAGCAAAAAUGACUUGAAUCUGGGUUUCUUUUAUUAUAUAUUAUAUAUUUUCAAUGUUUUAAUUAUAGCAUUUCCAGACCUUAUACAAAUACAAGUGCUACAGCUGGUAGACCUUUAUGCCUGUGGUUAUCAUACACUUUAUCAAUGUACAUCGUUGUUACAUUAUAUUAUAGGCUCAGUCAUAACUUGAGGAGUUCAGAAGGCAUCAAAAAAGAUUUAAGAAAUAAAGAAUCCUUAAU